CCUACGGGAGGCAGCAGUGAGGAAUAUUGGUCAAUGGGCGAGAGCCUGAACCAGCCAAGUAGCGUGAAGGAUGAAUGACCUACGGGUUGUAAACUUCUUUUAUAAAGGAAUAAAGUGAGGCACGUGUGCCUUUUUGUAUGUACUUUAUGAAUAAGCAUCGGCUAACUCCGUGCCAGCAGCCGCGGUAAUACGGAGGAUCCGAGCGUUAUCCGGAUUUAUUGGGUUUAAAGGGAGCGUAGGUGGGUUGUUAAGUCAGUGGUGAAAGUUUGCGGCUCAACCGUAAAAUUGCAAUUGAUACUGGUAGCCUUGAGUAUAGUUGAGGUAGGCGGAAUUCGUGGUGUAGCGGUGAAAUGCAUAGAUAUCACGAAGAACUCCGAUUGCGAAGGCAGCUUACUAAACUGUAACUGACAUUGAUGCACGAAAGUGUGGGUAUCAAACAGGAUUAGAUACCCGAGUAGUC
rnacentral:rRNA from 1 species